rnacentral:rRNA from 1 species
UACGUAGGUGGCAAGCGUUGUCCGGAAUUAUUGGGCGUAAAGCGCGCGCAGGUGGUUCCUUAAGUCUGAUGUGAAAGCCCACGGCUCAACCGUGGAGGGUCAUUGGAAACUGGGGAACUUGAGUACAGAAGAGGAAAGUGGAAUUCCACGUGUAGCGGUGAAAUGCGUAGAGAUGUGGAGGAACACCAGUGGCGAAGGCGACUUUCUGGUCUGUAACUGACACUGAGGCGCGAAAGCGUGGGGAGCGAACAGG